CCAAGACAUGGGUUGUAAACCAUACUCCUAUACUGCGGUUGUGGUGGAACUUGAAUAAGAGAUAAGCUGCUCUGCCAUCCAUUCUCCUUUCCAUCCGCCAUUUCCAAUCAAUAUGGCUAAGCUUGUGCUGCUCAUCCGAGGAGCUGCACUACUGCUUUGUCUAUUGAUCUUCCAAGUAACAUCCACUUCCCAUGGCCAAGCGAGUGGGUCGGGAGCCUGCAUCAGCAGCGAGCGAGAUGCGCUUCUGUCCUUCAAGGCAAGCCUCCUCGACCCUGCUGGCCAUCUCUCGUCAUGGCAGGGUGAGGAUUGUUGCCAGUGGAAGGGAGUCCGGUGUAGCAACAGAACGGGCCAUCUCAUCAAGCUCAACCUCCGCAACAUCGACAUGAAAGACAUGUACACCAUGUACGACUACAGCUACAAAAUGGUUGACUACAGCUACCCGAACUGGAGCAGAUCAUUGAGCUUGUCGGCAGGCGAGAUGAGCUCUUCUUUGGCUACUCUACAACACCUGAGGUAUCUUGAUCUGAGCGGGAAUGACUUCAAUGGCACAAGCAUCCCUGUGUUCUUAGCUUCUCUCAAGAACCUAAGGUAUCUCAACCUCUCGUGGACAGGAUUCAGUGGGAGAAUACCUUCCCAACUUGGCAAUCUCUCAAAGUUGCAAUAUCUUGAUCUCAGUUGGAAUUAUGAUUAUUAUGUGAAUACGCCUUACAUAGUGGAUCUUGCAUGGUUGCCACGUCUCUCUUCGUUGAGGCAUCUUGACAUGAGUUUUGCUGAUCUUGGUUCUGCGAGAGAUUGGUUUCGGAGUGUUAAUAUGCUUCCUUCUCUUAAAGUGCUUGGCUUGUCCGGUUGUGGACUCAACAGCACCAUGUUUGCUAGUAUAUCACUUUCCAACCUCACACAUCUCGAAGUCCUUCAUAUGUCUGAUAACAACUUCUAUACUUCACUCAAGCAUGCAUGGUUUUGGAAUCUCAAAAGCCUUAAGGAACUUUACCUCUCCGGUUCCAGCUGGAUAGGGUCUAUUCCUAGUGAUUUGGCAAACAUGACGGCCCUUCAAGUCAUAGAUUUAAGUGGGAAUCAGCUCAUGGGUUUGAUACCAGAAAAAUUGGAAAAUUUGUGCAAUUUGACCAGAAUGAGGUUCAGUGGUAACAACAUAGGUUCGAGCAUAGGGGAGUUCAUGAGGCGAUUACCAAAGUGCUCAUGGAAUACAUUGCAAGAAUUUUCGGUGCAGGAUGCAAAUAUGAUCGGGAAUCUUCCCAGUUGGAUUGGUAACAUGACCAAUCUCAGUGUUCUUCAUGCAUCUAAAAACAUGUUGAGUGGCUCUCUACCUGUAGGAGUUGGAGCACUGAGUAAUUUGAAAAGUCUGAUCCUUGGGAACAAUAACUUCAGCGGUGUGCUCUUGAAAGAACAAUUUGCAAAUUUAGGGAAAUUAGAGCUUUUGGACCUCAGCCACAAUAACUUCAACGGUGUGCUUUUGAAAGAACAAUUCGCAAAUUUAGGGAAAUUAGAGCUUUUGGACCUCAGCCACAAUAACUUCAGCGGUGAGCUAUUGAAAGAACAUUUUGCAAGUUUAGGCGCCUUAAAGAGUUUGAACCUUAGUUGCAAUAACUUCAGUGGUGUGCUCUCCAAUGAACAAUUUGCAAGGUUCGGCAACUUAAAUCUUUUGGACCUCAGCAGUAAUAACUUUAGUGAUUUUCUCUUGAAAGAACAGUCAGCAAGUUUAGAUAAUUUAAAGCAUUUGGACCUCAGCUAUAAUAAAUUAAAUAGUGUGCUCGUGGGGGAACAUUGUACAGGCCUAUUGAAUUUAAAGUAUAUGGACUUGUCGUACAACUCUUUGAGAUUAGCUAUCAACCAAAAAUGGGUUCCUGCAUUUAGGUUGAAGUACGCAAUAUUCCGGUCAUGUCAAUUGGGCCCUAGAUUUCCUGAGUGGCUUAAAUGGCAAUCUGACAUUGAUGUUCUUGUUCUCAGUAAUGCAAAUCUUGAUGAUGUUAUUCCUGAUUGGUUUUGGGUUACAUUUUCCCGAGCUUCCUUCUUGCAAGUAUCAGUAAACAAAUUGCAUGGGUCAAUACCAUCAGAUCUACAACACAUGUCAGCUGAUCAUAUAUAUCUCGGAUCCAAUAAGUUUACAGGUCAAGUCCCACAGUUGCCUAUAAAUAUAGUACGACUGAACCUAUCUUCAAACUCUUUAUCUGGUUCAUUGCCAUCAGAGUUAAAUGCUCCAUUACUCGAAGAGUUGUUGCUUGCAAACAAUCAAUUCAUAGGCACCAUCCCGUCGUCUAUAUGCCAAUUGACUAAACUGAAAAGGUUGGACCUAUCAGGAAACCAGUUAACAGGAGAUAUUAUGCCGUGCCAAAAGGAACUUGUUCCAAACUCUACAGAUCAAUUUGUCUCUGACAUGCUGAGCUUAGCCUUGAAUAACAAUGAUCUCACUGGUGAAUUCCCUAAAUUUCUUCAAAGGUCAUCAGGAUUAAUGUUCCUUGAUCUUUCUUACAACAGGUUAUUUGGAGGAUUGCCAGAAUGGUUACCCCAAAAAAUGCCACACAUGAAAAUAUUAAGAGUGAGAUCAAAUAUGUUCAGUGGUCAUAUUCCUAAGAGUCUCACUUCCCUUCACGAUCUUCAUUAUUUGGACAUAGCACACAACAAGAUAACAGGAACCAUACCAUGGUCUUUGUCAAACCUGAAGGCAAUGAUGACAGUGGUGUCGCAGGACACGGGGGAUUAUAUUUAUGAAGAGAGCAUACCAGUAAUCACAAAGGACCAAAAGCGUGACUACACCUUUGCAAUUUACCAGCUAUUGGUUGUUCUUGAUUUGUCAAGUAAUAGUUUGGGGGAACAGGUUCCAGAGGAGAUAACUUUACUUGUUGGGCUUACCAAUCUGAACUUGUCAAAUAAUCAACUCAUAGGAGCAAUCCCAAAACAAAUUGGUGAUUUAAGGCAGUUGGACUCACUCGACCUAUCCUUCAAUGAGUUUUCUGGUGCAAUACCAUCAAGUUUGUCAGCUUUAACUUAUUUGAGCCACUUGAACUUGUCGUACAACAAUCUGUCCGGUGCAAUACCAUCCGGACAACAGCUACAAGCUCUUGAUAACCAGAUGUAUAUCUACAUUGGUAACCCUGAUCUUUGUGGAGAUCCUGUUGGCAGGAACUGCUCAACACAUGACGCAGAGCAAAGUGGCCUCGAAGAUAUAGAUCAUAUGCCAUCUGUUUAUCUUGCCAUGAGCAUUUGAUUUGUGGUGGGUCUGUGGACAGUUUUCUGCACCAUGUUGAUGAAGAGAACAUGGAGGGCUGCCUUCUUUCAGUUUGUUGAUAUGAUGUACGACAUGGUUUAUGUUCAAGUGGCUAUAAGGUGCGCUCACAUGAUGGAGAAAACUCAAGACGGUGCGCCAUGAAGUGCCCAACUCUGCAGCAAGCGAAUUGUGUGUAUCCAAAUAUUAUUUGUAUUUUUGUACCAUAUCCAUAUUUUCAGCUCUAAAUUAGCCUUGGCUGGACGGUCUGUACUAUACUGUAUUGUUAUUUGUAUGUUUGCACCUUAUCUCUAUUUUAGCUCUACAUGAGCCUUGGCUGGACAUCCGUACUGUAUUUUAUUGGUAGUUGUAUGUCUGUAAUUUAACAAAUGAAGUGUAUGUAUAGGGUUUGCUGUAUUGUUUAAGCUGAAGAAAAAAUUUACUACCC
rnacentral:rRNA from 1 species